AUCUUGGUGUGGCUCAUAAGCACAGCGAUUGGGGUUUUAUGCUCUCUGUGAGAUGUUCCUCCACUGAGCCCUGUCAUGAUGCGGGCGCCUUAUCUGUCAUGCA